rnacentral:misc_RNA from 1 species
ACAGGGUUGGCAAAAGUGGCGUAAUAAAUGAACUUGAGUGUUUUUGUAUGAAUGCAGCGGACGCAUGUGAAUUGACUCCUUUAAAAAAAUUAUAAGUUUACAUUUAUUAAAAAGUAACUGCAUUCUUUAAGCAAUGAAAUACAGCAAAACACAUUUCAUGACACAAUUAGAACAAAGAAUCUGCAGCUUAAUAUCCAUUUAUGUUAUGGAGUAAAGAAGAUAAUUAAUGGAACAGCCACCGCCAAAAACCCGGAGGCGACAUUGUAGGAACAGCCAUUAGGGUUAUGGUGAAGUCAAGGGUUAUCGUGAAGCCAAGGGUUUGUCUCGUUAUUGCAAUUUUCCGAGUAGCAAAACUUGAAACAGUAGUUGUUUGGAUUGGAGUAUAUGCAGUCGCCCGUAACUAGUUGAGGUUCACAACCGCGCAAGACAGAGUUGAUCUUUCCAGUUUCUGUAAAAAAAAACCCACCCCCCCCCCAAAAAAAAAAACAACAAACAAAAACAAAUGCUAAAUAUUUGGAAUUGAAAUUUUUGUGCCUUUAAUCUUAAUAUUUUUGACGGACGGUAUACUGAGUAUUUAUUUAAACACGGAAUUCAUACUCUGAUUGAUUUGUUUGCGGUGCGAACAAGGCCAGGUACUAUUGCAAUGAAUGAAAGUCGUAAUGGACGCCGGGUCAUUCAAACAUCGGAGGUCCUCUUCACGUGUGAAAUCAAUUCCGGCACAUGACAGGCAGGUAAAGUAUCGUACAUGAUUGGACCAAACAACUGAAAUAAAAAUGUCCACGUGGAGAGAGAGAGAGAGAGUAAAAUGUUUGUUUAAUCGCUUACCAUACACUCCAAACUUUGAGCCCGAUACUUAUGAUAUUUAAAAAGCAAUAUACCCGGUAUAUGAAAUGUACAUGUAUUCAACAUUUUAGAAUAUCUAUUACCUUUAUGUCUUCAUGUUUGAAAAUCUUAAAAUCAUAUUUAAAGAUCGGAAAAUAUCAUUAAAUAAUAUUUUGAUAAU